rnacentral:rRNA from 1 species
UUAAGCGACUAAGCGUACACGGUGGAUGCCCUGGCAGUCAGAGGCGAUGAAGGACGUGCUAAUCUGCGAAAAGCGUCGGUAAGGUGAUAUGAACCGUUAUAGCCGGCGAUGUCCGAAUGGGGAAACCCAGUGCAAUUCGUUGCACUAUCGUUAACUGAAUACAUAGGUUAACGAGGCGAACCGGGGGAACUGAAACAUCUAAGUACCCCGAGGAAAAGAAAUCAACCGAGAUUCCCCCAGUAGCGGCGAGCGAACGGGGAGCAGCCCAGAGUCUGAAUCAGCUUGUGUGUUAGUGGAACGGUCUGGAAAGUCCGACGGUACAGGGUGAUAGUCCCGUACACCAAAAUGCACAGGCUGUGAACUCGAAGAGUAGGGCGGGACACGUGGUAUCCUGUCUGAAUAUGGGGGGACCAUCCUCCAAGGCUAAAUACUCCUGACUGACCGAUAGUGAACCAGUACCGUGAGGGAAAGGCGAAAAGAACCCCGGCGAGGGGAGUGAAAAAGAACCUGAAACCGUGUACGUACAAGCAGUGGGAGCACCUUCGGGUGUGACUGCGUACCUUUUGUAUAAUGGGUCAGCGACUUAUAUUCUGUAGCAAGGUUAACCGUAUAGGGGAGCCGCAGGGAAACCGAGUCUUAACUGGGCGUUAAGUUGCAGGGUAUAGACCCGAAACCCGGUGAUCUAGCCAUGGGCAGGUUGAAGGUUGGGUAACACUAACUGGAGGACCGAACCGACUAAUGUUGAAAAAUUAGCGGAUGACUUGUGGCUGGGGGUGAAAGGCCAAUCAAACCGGGAGAUAGCUGGUUCUCCCCGAAGCUAUUUAGGUAGCGCCUCGUGAACUCAUCUUCGGGGGUAGAGCACUGUUUCGGCUAGGGGGUCAUCCCGACUUACCAACCCGAUGCAAACUACGAAUACCGAAGAAUGUUAUCACGGGAGACACACGGCGGGUGCUAACGUCCGUCGUGAAGAGGGAAACAACCCAGACCGCCAGCUAAGGUCCCAAAGUCAUGGUUAAGUGGGAAACGAUGUGGGAAGGCACAGACAGCCAGGAUGUUGGCUUAGAAGCAGCCAUCAUUUAAGAAAGCGUAAUAGCUCACUGGUCGAGUCGGCCUGCGCGGAAGAUGUAACGGGGCUAAACCAUGCACCGAAGCUGCGGCAGCGACACUAUGUGUUGUUGGGUAGGGGAGCGUUCUGUAGCCUGCGAAGGUGUGCUGUGAGGCAUGCUGGGAGGUAUCAGAAGUGCGAAUGCUGACAUAAGUAACGAUAAAGCGGGUGAAAAGCCCGCUCGCCGGAAGACCAAGGGUUCCUGUCCAACGUUAAUCGGGGCAGGGUGAGUCGACCCCUAAGGCGAGGCCGAAAGGCGUAGUCGAUGGGAAACAGGUUAAUAUUCCUGUACUUGGUGUUACUGCGAAGGGGGGACGGAGAAGGCUAUGUUAGCCGGGCGACGGUUGUCCCGGUUUAAGCAUGUAGGCUGGUUAUCCAGGCAAAUCCGGAUAAUCAAGGCUGAGGUGUGAUGACGAGGCACUACGGUGCUGAAGUAACAAAUGCCCUGCUUCCAGGAAAAGCCUCUAAGCAUCAGGUAACAUCAAAUCGUACCCCAAACCGACACAGGUGGUCAGGUAGAGAAUACCAAGGCGCUUGAGAGAACUCGGGUGAAGGAACUAGGCAAAAUGGUGCCGUAACUUCGGGAGAAGGCACGCUGGUGUGUAGGUGAAGCCCCUGCGGGUGGAGCUGAGACCAGUCGAAGAUACCAGCUGGCUGCAACUGUUUAUUAAAACACAGCACUGUGCAAACACGAAAGUGGACGUAUACGGUGUGACGCCUGCCCGGUGCCGGAAGGUUAAUUGAUGGGGUUAUCCGUAAGGAGAAGCUCUUGAUCGAAGCCCCGGUAAACGGCGGCCGUAACUAUAACGGUCCUAAGGUAGCGAAAUUCCUUGUCGGGUAAGUUCCGACCUGCACGAAUGGCGUAAUGAUGGCCAGGCUGUCUCCACCCGAGACUCAGUGAAAUUGAACUCGCUGUGAAGAUGCAGUGUACCCGCGGCAAGACGGAAAGACCCCGUGAACCUUUACUAUAGCUUGACACUGAACAUUGAGCCUUGAUGUGUAGGAUAGGUGGGAGGCUUUGAAGCGUGGACGCCAGUCUGCGUGGAGCCAACCUUGAAAUACCACCCUUUAAUGUUUGAUGUUCUAACGUUGGCCCCUGACCGGGGUUGCGGACAGUGUCUGGUGGGUAGUUUGACUGGGGCGGUCUCCUCCCAAAGCGUAACGGAGGAGCACGAAGGUUAGCUAAUCCUGGUCGGACAUCAGGAGGUUAGUGCAAUGGCAUAAGCUAGCUUGACUGCGAGCGUGACGGCGCGAGCAGGUGCGAAAGCAGGUCAUAGUGAUCCGGUGGUUCUGAAUGGAAGGGCCAUCGCUCAACGGAUAAAAGGUACUCCGGGGAUAACAGGCUGAUACCGCCCAAGAGUUCAUAUCGACGGCGGUGUUUGGCACCUCGAUGUCGGCUCAUCACAUCCUGGGGCUGAAGUAGGUCCCAAGGGUAUGGCUGUUCGCCAUUUAAAGUGGUACGCGAGCUGGGUUUAGAACGUCGUGAGACAGUUCGGUCCCUAUCUGCCGUGGGCGCUGGAGAAUUGAGGGGGGCUGCUCCUAGUACGAGAGGACCGGAGUGGACGCAUCACUGGUGUUCGGGUUGUCAUGCCAAUGGCACUGCCCGGUAGCUAAAUGCGGAAGAGAUAAGUGCUGAAAGCAUCUAAGCACGAAACUUGCCCCGAGAUGAGUUCUCCCUGAGACUUUAAGUCUCCUGAAGGAACGUUAAAGACGAUGACGUUGAUAGGCCGGGUGUGUAAGCGCAGCGAUGCGUUGAGCUAACCGGUACUAAUGAACCGUGAGGCUUAACCUU